rnacentral:rRNA from 1 species
UAAGGAAUAUUGGACAAUGGACGCGAGUCUGAUCCAGCCAUCCCGCGUGUAGGAUGACGGCCCUACGGGUUGUAAACUACUUUUAUUAGGGAAGAAAUCUGUUUAUUUAUGACCAGUUGACGGUACCUAAUGAAUAAGCACCGGCUAACUCCGUGCCAGCAGCCGCGGUAAUACGGAGGGUGCAAGCGUUAUCCGGAAUCACUGGGUUUAAAGGGAGCGUAGGCGGCAUAAUAAGUCAGAGGUGAAAGGCUGUAGCUCAACUAUGGAAUUGCCUUUGAUACUGUUGUGCUUGAAUCAAGUUGAGGUCGGCAGAAUGUGACAUGUAGCGGUGAAAUGCAUAGAUAUGUCAUAGAAUACCAAUUGCGAAGGCAGCUGGCUGGACUUGUAUUGACGCUGAGGCUCGAAAGCGUGGGGAGCAAACAGGAUUAGAUACCCCCGUAGUCC